rnacentral:rRNA from 1 species
UUAAAUUGAAGAGUUUGAUCAUGGCUCAGAUUGAACGCUGGCGGCAGGCCUAACACAUGCAAGUCGAACGGUAACAGGAAGCAGCUUGCUGCUUUGCUGACGAGUGGCGGACGGGUGAGUAAUGUCUGGGAAACUGCCUGAUGGAGGGGGAUAACUACUGGAAACGGUGGCUAAUACCGCAUAAUGUCGCAAGACCAAAGAGGGGGACCUUCGGGCCUCUUGCCAUCAGAUGUGCCCAGAUGGGAUUAGCUUGUUGGUGAGGUAACGGCUCACCAAGGCGACGAUCCCUAGCUGGUCUGAGAGGAUGACCAGCCACACUGGAACUGAGACACGGUCCAGACUCCUACGGGAGGCAGCAGUGGGGAAUAUUGCACAAUGGGCGCAAGCCUGAUGCAGCCAUGCCGCGUGUAUGAAGAAGGCCUUCGGGUUGUAAA